GCCAGUAUAACGAGGGGUUCACCGUGCAGAGCAGUGUGUCAGUAUACAGAGGGAUUCACUGUGGAGAGCAGUGUGUGUCAGUAUACAGAGGGAUUCACUGUGCAGAGCAGUGUGUGUCAGUAUACAGAGGGAUUCACUGUGCAGAACAGUGUGUCAGCACACAGAGGGAUUCACUGUGCAGAGCAGUGUUAGUAUAUCAUUCUUUUAAUUUUGUUUGUCAAUCCUUUGGAACAGC